rnacentral:rRNA from 1 species
AACGAACGCUGGCGGCAGGCCUAACACAUGCAAGUCGAGCGCACCCUUCGGGGUGAGCGGCGGACGGGUUAGUAACGCGUGGGAAUAUACCCGACACUAAGGAAUAGCCUCUGGAAACGGAGAGUAAUACCUUAUACGCCCUUCGGGGGAAAGAUUUAUCGGUGACGGAUUAGCCCGCGUUAGAUUAGAUAGUUGGUGGGGUAAUGGCCUACCAAGUCUACGAUCUAUAGCUGGUUUUAGAGGAUGAUCAGCAACACUGGGACUGAGACACGGCCCAGACUCCUACGGGAGGCAGCAGUGGGGAGUCUUGGACAAUGGGCGCAAGCCUGAUCCAGCCAUGCCGCGUGAGUGAUGAAGGCCUUAGGGUCGUAAAGCUCUUUCGCCAGAGAUGAUAAUGACAGUAUCUGGUAAAGAAACCCCGGCUAACUCCGUGCCAGCAGCCGCGGUAAUACGGAGGGGGUUAGCGUUGUUCGGAAUUACUGGGCGUAAAGCGCGCGUAGGCGGAUUAGUAAGUUAGAGGUGAAAUCCCGGGGCUCAACCCCGGAACUGCCUUUAAUACUGCUAGUCUUGAGUUCGAGAGAGGUGAGUGGAAUUCCGAGUGUAGAGGUGAAAUUCGUAGAUAUUCGGAGGAACACCAGUGGCGAAGGCGGCUCACUGGCUCGAUACUGACGCUGAGGUGCGAAAGUGUGGGGAGCAAACAGGAUUAGAUACCCUGGUAGUCCACACCGUAAACGAUGAUGCCAGUCGUCGGGCAGUAUACUGUUCGGUGACACACCUAACGGAUUAAGCAUUCCGCCUGG